UCAGUCGGUCGGGCAGCCGCGCCUGUCAUGUGCCGAAAGGCGGCAGGUGAGGAAAGUCCGGGCUCCAAGGAAACACGAUGCCGGGUAACGCCCGGCGGGGGGCGACCCCAGGGAAAGUGCCACAGAAAGCAAACCGCCCCGUCUUCCGUACCGUUUCGGGUAAACGGCAGGGAUGACGGGGUAAGGGUGAAAGGGUGGGGUAAGAGCCCACCGCGCCGGCAGCAAUGCAGGCGGCACGGUAAACCCCAUCGGGAGCAAAACCGAAUAGGGACGGCGCGUCGGCUCGAAAGGGCAGGCAAUCGGUUUCCGGAUCAGCCGUCCGGGUGGGUUGCACGAGGCGGGUGGCGACAUCCGUCCCAGAUGAAUGGCUGCCGCGCCGGGCGCAAGCCCGGCCGUACAGAACCCGGCUUACAGACCGGCUGACAUU
rnacentral:RNase_P_RNA from 1 species